GACGAACGCUGGCGGCGGGCUUAACACAUGCAAGUCGAACGGAAAGGCCCUGCUUUUGUGGGGUGCUCGAGUGGCGAACGGGGGAGUAACACGUGAGUAACCUGCCCUUGACUUUGGGGUAACUUCAGGAAACUGGGGCUAAUACCGGAUAGGAGCUCCUGCUGCAUGGUGGGGGUUGGAAAGUUUCGGCGGUUGGGGAUGGACUCGCGGCUUAUCAGCUUGUUGGUGGGGUAGUGGCUUACCAAGGCUUUGACGGGUAGCCGGCCUGGGAGGGUGACCGGCCACAUGGGGACUGAGGUACGGCCCAGACUCCUACGGGAGGCAGCAGGGGGGAAUAUUGCACAAUGGGCGGAAGCCUGAUGCAGCAACGCCGCGUGCGGGAUGACCGCCUUCGGGUUGUGAACCGCUUUCGCCUGUGACGAAGCGUGAGUGACGGUAAUGGGUAAAGAAGCACCGGCUAACUACGUG
rnacentral:rRNA from 1 species